rnacentral:sRNA from 1 species
CGAUCUGCUGCGGGGCGAUGAAGUGGAUAUGGCUGUCCAUGCCGCCCGCGGUCAGGAUGCGCCCCUCGCCCGCGAUGAUCUCGGUCCCCGGCCCGAUGAUGAUGUCGACGCCGGGCUGGGUGUCGGGGUUACCUGCCUUGCCGAUCUUCAGGAUGCGCCCGUCGCGCAGGCCCACAUCAGCCUUGUAGAUGCCGGAAUGGUCAAGGAUCAGCGCAUUGGUGAUGACCGUAUCCGCCGCCCCGCCCGCGCGCGAAACCUGGCUUUGCCCCAUCCCGUCCCG